GCCGACGUAGCUCAAUCGGUAGAGCAGCUGAAUCGUAAUCAGCAGGUUGUCCGUUCGACUCGGAUCGUCGGCUCCA
rnacentral:tRNA from 1 species